rnacentral:lncRNA from 1 species
UAUUUUGGGCUAAUUUCAUGAGUUCCUAAGGGGUUUGGACACUCAUUAGCAUCAAUUAAACAUAUAAGUUUAAUUAACUUAACCCAAAAACGACAUCGGAACGUUUCGAUAUACGGCGAGUUAUACGGGUAGAAUGGGUUUUUGGCGAUGGACAACUUCGGGUUGUUACAGCUUUGAUUAGGAUUGUUUAAUUCUUGAGUUUCACAAUAGAAGUUUAUGCAAUUUAGCAAAGUUUUAAUAUCAUUGUUUAAUUCUUGAGUUCCAGAAUACAUGUCUAUGCAAUUUAGUAAAGCUUUGAUGAGCAUUGUUUAAUUCUCGAGUUCCACAAUAGAAGUCUAUGCAAUAUACCAACGCUUUGAUGAACAUUGUUUAAUUCUUGAGUCCCACACUAAAGUCUAUGCAAUUUAAGCAAAGGUUUGAUGAGGAUUGUUUAAUUUUUAAGUUCUACAAUAAAAGUCUAUGCAAUUUACCAAAGCUUUGAUGAGCAUUGUUUGACUCUUGAGUUCCACAAUUGAAGUCUAUGAAAUUUAAGCAAAGCUUUGAUGAACAUUGUUUAAUUCUCGAGUUCCAUAGUAGAAGUCUAUGCAAUAUAAGAAAGCUUUGAUGAUUAUCGUUUAAUUCUUGAGUUCCACAAUAGAAGUCUAUGCAAUUUAAGUAAAGCUUUGAUGAGCAUUGUUUGAUUCUUGAGUUCGACAAUAGAAGUAGUCAAUCCAAUUUAGCAAGGUUUGAAGAGCAUUGUUUAAUUCUUGAGUUCUAAAAUAGAAGUCUAUGCAAUUUAGUAAAGCUUUGAGGAGUAUUGUUUAAUUCUUGAGUUCCACAAUAGAAGUCUAUGCAAUUUAAGCAAAGCUUUGAUGAGCAUUGUUUAAUUCUCGGGUUCCAUAAUAGAAGUCUAUGCAAUUUAAGCAAAACUUUAAUGAACAUUGUUUAAUUCUUGAGUUCCACAAUACAUCUCUAUGCAAUUUUGCAAAGCUUUUAUGAGUAUUUUUUAAUUCCUGUGUUCCACAAUAGAAGUCUAUGCCAUUUAGGAAAGCUUUGAUGAGCGUUGUUUAAUUCAUGAGUUCCACAAUAGUAGUCUACGCGAUUUAAGCAAAGAUUUGAUGAUGAUUGUUUAAUUCUUGAGUUCUACAAUAGAAUUCUAUGCAAUUUACCAAAGCUUUGAUGAGCAUGGUUUAAUUCUUGAGUUCCACAAUAGAAGUCUAUGUAAUUUAAGCAAAGCUUUGAUGAGCAUUGUUUAAUUCUCGGGUUCCAUAAUAGGAGUCUAUGGAAUUUAAACAAAGCUUUGAUUAGGAUUGUUUAAUUCUUGAGUUUCACAAUAGAAGUAUAUGUAAUUUAGCAAAGUUUUAAAUGCAUUGUUUAAUUCUUGAGUUCUAGAAUACAUGUCUAUGCAAUUUAGCAAAGAUUUGAUGAGCUUUGUUUAAUUCUUGAGUCCCACAAUAGAAGUCUAUGCAAUUUAGCAAAGCGUUGAUGAAAAUUGUUUAAUUCUUGAGUUCCACACUAAAGGCUAUGGAAUUUAAGCAACGCUUUGACGAGGAUUGUUUAAUUCUUGAGUUCUACAAUAGAAGUCUAUGCAAUUUAGCAAAGCGUUGAUGAAAAUUGUUUAAUUCUUGAGUUCCACACUAAAGGCUAUGGAAUUUAAGCAACGCUUUGACGAGGAUUGUUUAAUUCUUGAGUUCUACAAUAGAAGUCUAUGCAAUUUAAGCAAAGCUUUGAUGAACAUUGUUUAAUUCUAGAGUUCCAUAGUAGAAGUCUGUGAUAACUCGAAAUUUUCAUUCGAUCAAACCCUAGCAGUCAAUCACUUCAUAUUAUAAUUCAAGUUCACUUUUGCUUGUUUUUGGGAAAAAUAAGUUCGUUUGAUUAUUUUAAUAUUAUUUUUAAACGAACGGGUGAAAGAAAGUGUCGUCUCG